AAAGAAAUAAUACAAACGUUAAAACAAAAGAUAACACAAAUUGAAAUAGAAAGAUAUGAAGACAAAGAAAUAAUUCAAACAUUUAAGCUUCAAAUAAAGAAGUUGGAACAGUUUCAAAGACUAACGGAGACUGGAAAGCACCUUCAGCCGGGUUACAUAAAAUUAUCCCAAACCAGAGUGCCGGGUUUCGCACCAACUGCAUUUACUGCUUGUUUAAUGACACCACAUCCCCAGCUGGGCGUCUACCAAACAAUAGUCUUCGAACAUGUUAUCACCAACGUUGGCAAUGCAUACAAUCCUCACAACGGCGAAUUCACCGCAACCUGUUAAUGGCGUCUAUGCAUUCCACGCAACGCUGAUGACUGAGCGAAACACAGAUGCAUACUUCUAGAUAGUAAAGGACGGCCAAAUGAUUGACGAUAUGUACGUGUACGCUACAUUAACAAACGAACUACGAACUACGGGCGAAUUCUGGCUCCUAAAUCUAAACGCAGGAUCGCAAGUAUGGUUACUAACGGAGCAAGGUGGUGAAACAAUGCACAGCGGCUGUCACACAAUGUUUUCAGGGUUUUUUCGUGUUCGAAGUUUAAUAACAACCAAGUUGUUAAUAAAUAAAUUCAAUAAAAUUA